GCUUCUGUAGCUCAGUGGAUAGAGCAACGGUCUCCGGUACCGUGAGCGGGAGUUCGAUUCUCUCCAGAAGCA
rnacentral:tRNA from 1 species